CUACGGGGGGCAGCAGUGAGGAAUAUUGGUCAAUGGGCGCAAGCCUGAACCAGCCAUCCCGCGUGGAGGAAGACGGCCCUAUGGGUUGUAAACUCCUUUUAUAAGGGAAGAAUAUACGUAUCGCGAUAUGUUUUGACGGUACCUUAUGAAUAAGCAUCGGCUAACUCCGAGCCAGCAGCCGCGGUAAUACGGAGGAUGCAAGCGUUAUCCGGAUUCAUUGGGUUUAAAGGGUGCGCAGGCGGGCAAAUAAGUCAGUGGUGAAAUCUUACGGCUCAACCGUGAAACUGCCAUUGAUACUGUUAGUCUUGAGUACGGCUGAGGUAGGCGGAAUGUGUAAUGUAGCGGUGAAAUGCUUAGAUAUUACACAGAACACCAAUUGCGUAGGCAGCUUACUAGACCGUAACUGACGCUGAGGCACGAAAGCGUGGGUAGCGAACAGGAUUAGAUACCCCUGUAGUC
rnacentral:rRNA from 1 species